CUGUGCAAAGGUAGCAUAAUCAUUAGUUUUUUAAUUGAAAGCUGGAAUGAAAGGUCGGAUAAGAAAAAUUCUGUCUUAAUUUUAAUAUUAUAAUUUUAUUUUUAAGUUAAAAAGCUUAAAUUUUUUAAAAAGACGAGAAGACCCUAUAGAGUUUGAUUUAGUUAAUUAUAUAUUUUCUUAUAUAUAAUUUUGAUGUAUGAUUAAUAUAAUUUUGUUGGGGUGAUGUAAAAAUUUGUUUAACUUUUUAUUUAUUUAUACAUAAAUUAUUGAAUAUUUGAUCCUAAUUUUUGGAUUAAAAGAAUAAAUUACCUUAGGGAUAACAGCGUAAUUUUUUUUAGAGUUCUUAUUGAAAAAAAAGUUUGCGACCUCGAUGUUGGAUUAAAGUUAAAUUUUGGUGUAGAAGCUAAAAGUUUAGGUCUGUUCGACCUUUAAAACU
rnacentral:rRNA from 1 species